rnacentral:rRNA from 1 species
GACAGAGGGGGCAGGCGUUGUCCGGAGUUACUGGGCGUAAAGCGCACGCAGGCGGCGCGGUACGUGGGGUGUGAAAGCUGGUGGCUCAACCGCCAGUCGCCAUCCCAGACUGCCGCGCUCGAGUGGUGCAGAGGUUCCUCGAAUUGCCGGUGUAGUGGUGAAAUGCGUAGAGAUCGGCAGGAAGACCGAGGGGGAAACCAGGGAACCGGGCACUGACUGACGCUCAGGUGCGAAAGCGUGGGGAGCGAACCGG